CGGUGGAGCAUGUGGUUAAUUCGAAGCAACGCGAAGAACCUUACCAGGCCUUGACAUGCAGAGAACUUUCCAGAGAUGGAUUGGUGCCUUCGGGAACUCUGACACAGGUGCUGCAUGGCUGUCGUCAGCUCGUGUCGUGAGAUGUUGGGUUAAGUCCCGUAACGAGCGCAACCCUUGUCCUUAGUUACCAGCACGUUAUGGUGGGCACUCUAAGGAGACUGCCGGUGACAAACCGGAGGAAGGUGGGGAUGACGUCAGGUCAUCAUGGCCCUUACGGCCUGGGCUACACACGUGCUACAAUGGUCGGUACAAAGGGUUGCCAAGCCGCGAGGUGGAGCUAAUCCCAUAAAACCGAUCGUAGUCCGGAUCGCAGUCUGCAACUCGACUGCGUGAAGUCGGAAUCGCUAGUAAUCGUGAAUCAGAAUGUCACGGUGAAUACGUUCCCGGGCCUU
rnacentral:rRNA from 1 species